UACAGAGGUGGCAAGCGUUGUUCGGAAUUACUGGGCGUAAAGAGCUUGUAGGUGGUUUGUCGCGUUGUUCGUGAAAUCUCACGGCUUAACUGUGAGCGUGCGGGCGAUACGGGCAGACUAGAGUACUGCAGGGGAGACUGGAAUUCCUGGUGUAGCGGUGGAAUGCGCAGAUAUCAGGAGGAACACCGGUGGCGAAGGCGGGUCUCUGGGCAGUAACUGACGCUGAGGAGCGAAAGCGUGGGGAGCGAACAGG
rnacentral:rRNA from 1 species